rnacentral:lncRNA from 1 species
UGGAAGUUAAUUAUACAAAUAUGAAAUCUUAAAUUUUGAUAAUGAUUAGAGAUUUCUAUGUAUGUUUUGUUUUAGGUUGUUUCACGAAGAAAUCCAGAGGAUGUCCAGGAGGAGAAUCCUGAACCAACCUAUCCAUGAACAUACUCUCUGCCAUUUUCUUAGUCCUUUUUUCGGGAAAACUCUUUUAUAAUAACAACUGUUGGUGAACCAUUCAUCCGAAAACUCUUUAAUUGUAUGGAAGAGAUACAGUGAUUUUAAGAAACUACACAAAGAACUAUGGCAAAUUCACAAAAAC